UACGGAAGGGGCAAGCGUUGUUCGGAAUCAUUGGGCGUAAAGGGCGCGUAGGUGGUUCUGUAUGUCUAUCGUGAAAGCAUACAGCUCAACUGUAUUUGUCGGUAGAAACUGCAGGACUUGAGGCUGGGAGGGGCUGGUGGAAUUCCCUGUGUAGCGGUGAAAUGCGUAGAGAUGGGGAGAACACUCAUGGCGAAGGCGGCCAG
rnacentral:rRNA from 1 species